UGGGGAAUAUUGCACAAUGGGCGAAAGCCUGAUGCAGCGACGCCGCGUGAGGGAUGACGGCCUUCGGGUUGUAAACCUCUUUCAGCAGGGACGAAGCGAAAGUGACGGUACCUGCAGAAGAAGCACCGGCCAACUACGUGCCAGCAGCCGCGGUAAUACGUAGGGUGCAAGCGUUGUCCGGAAUUAUUGGGCGUAAAGAGCUCGUAGGCGGUUUGUCGCGUCGGCUGUGAAAACCUGGGGCUCAACCCCGGGCCUGCAGCCGAUACGGGCAAGCUAGAAUUCGGUAGGGGAGACUGGAAUUCCUGGUGUAGCGGUGAAAUGCGCAGAUAUCAGGAGGAACACCGGUGGCGAAGGCGGGUCUCUGGGCCGAUAUUGACGCUGAGGAGCGAAAGCGUGGGGAGCAAACAGGAUUAGAUACCCCCGUAGUCC
rnacentral:rRNA from 1 species